ACAAACAAAAGAACUCUGUGCCGUGCCCCUUGAGCAUUGCGUUGCUGCAUUGCACCCCACCGACUCCACUAUGUUGAAGAAAUUCGACAAGAAGGACGAAGAGUCGGGUGGAGGCUCCAACCCAUUCGAGCACCUUGAGAAGAGUGCCGUACUCCAGGAGGCCGGUGUAUUUAAUGAAACUCCCAUCAACCCUUGGAAAUGUGUCCACAUCCUCACCAAGAUUCUUUAUCCUAUAAACCAGGGGGAGCACCUGGGGACCACGGAAGCGACCGAGGCCUUCUUUGCCAUGACCAAGCUCUUUCAGUCCAAUGAUCCCACACUCCAUCGGAUGUGCUACUUGACCAUCAAGGAGAUGUCUUGCAUCACAGAAGAUGUCAUCAUUGUCGCCAGCAGCCUAACAAAAUACAUGACUGGGAAAGAGGACAACGACCGGGGCCCCGCUGUGUGAGGCCUCUGCCAGAUCACUGAUAGCACCAUGCUGCAGGCUACUGAGUGCUACAUGAAACAAGCCAUUGUGGACAAGAUGCCCAGUGGCUCCAGCUCUGCCCUCAUGUCUUCCCUGCACCUGCUGAAGUGCAGCUUUGAUGUGGUCAAGCACUGGGUGAAUGAGGCUCAGGAGGCGGCAUCCGGUGAUAAGAUCAUGGUCCAGUACCACGCCCUAGGGCUCCUGUACCGUGUGCGUAAGAAUGACCACCUGGCCAUCAAUAAGAUGAUCAGCAAGGUCACCUGGCACGGCCUUAAGUCUCCCUUUGCCUACUGCAUGAUGAUCUGGGUGGCCAGCAAGCAACUGGAAGAGGAGGAUGGCAGCCGUGACAGCCCACUGUUUGACUUCAUCGACAGCUGCUUGAGAAACAAGCACAAGAUGGUGGUGUACAAAGCCGCCUUGGUCACUGUCAAUCUGCCAGGCUGCAGUGCCAAAGAGCUGCCCCUUGCUGUGUCAGUGCUCCAGUUUUUCUGCAGCUCACCCAAGACUGCUCUCCACUAUGCUGCUGUUCCCACCCUCAGUAAGGUUGCCAUGAAGCAUCUGUCAGCUGUGACAGCUUGUAAUCUGGAUCUGGAGAACCUGGUCACAGACUGAAACCGCAGCCGUGCCAUGCUGGCCAUCACCACCCUCCUUAAGAGGGGCAGUGACAGCAGCAUCGACCACCUCAUGAAGCAGUUCUCCUCCUUCAUGUCAGAGAUCUUGGAUGAAUUCAAGGUGGUGGUUGUCCAGGCUAUCAGUGCCCUGUGUCAGAAGUAUCCUCGCAAACAUGCCAUCCUCAUGAACUUCCUGUUCACCAUGCUGUGGGAAGAGGGUGGUUUUGAGUACAAGCACACCACCGUGGACUGCAUCAUCAGCAUCAUUGAGGAGAACUCAGAGAGCAAGGAGACAGGGCUGUCACAUCUGUGCGAGUUCAUCGAGGACUGCGAGUUCACAGUGCUGGCCACCCGUAUUCUACAUCUCCUGGGCCAGGAGGGGUCCAAGACCACCAAUCCCUCAAAGUACAUCCACUUCAUCUGUAACCGAGUGGUCUUGGAGCAUGAGGAAGUCUGGGCAGGUGCUGUGAGUGCUCUGGCCAAGAUUGGAGCCCAGAAUGAAGAGAUGUUACCCAGUAUCUUGGUGUUGCUGAAGAGGUGUGUGAUGGAUGAUGGCAAUGAAGUAAGGGAUCGAGCCACCUUCUACCUAAAUGUCCUGGAGCAGAAGCAGAAAGCCCUCAAUGCAGGCUAUAUCCUAAAUGGUCUGACUGUGUCCAUCCUGGUCUGGAGAGGGCUCUGCAGCAGUACACUCUAGAACCAUCAGAAAAACCUUUUGACCUCAAGUCUGUGCCCCUGGCCACGGCACCCACGGCAGAGCAGAGAACAGAAAGUACUCCCAUCACAGAUGUCAAACAGCCUGAGAAAGUGGCAGCUACCAGGCAGGAGAUCUUUCAGGAGCAGUUGGCGGCGGUGCCAGAGUUCCGGGGACUUGGGCCCUUCUUCAAGUCCUCGCCUGAGCCCGUGGCCCUCACAGAGUCAGAGACGGGGGUAUGUCAUGUUUCUGCCUCAUGAAACCGGCAGAAACCG